UGUACCCCAUCUCAGUCGGUAGAGCCUGAGGCUCUUCAUCUCAAGGUUGUGGGUUCGAGCCCACAUUGGGCAAAA